CACUCCCAACCCCUGUGAACAUACCUAUACGUUGCCUCGGCGGAUCAGCCCGCGCCCCGUAACAAGGGACGGCCCGCCCGAGGACCCCUAAACUCUGUUUUUAGUGGAACUUCUGAGUAAAACAAACAAAUAAAUCAAAACUUUCAACAACGGAUCUCUUGGUUCUGGCAUCGAUGAAGAACGCAGCAAAAUGCGAUAAGUAAUGUGAAUUGCAGAAUUCAGUGAAUCAUCGAAUCUUUGAACGCACAUUGCGCCCGCCAGUAUUCUGGCGGGCAUGCCUGUUCGAGCGUCAUUUCAACCCUCAAGCUCAGCUUGGUGUUGGGACUCGCGGUAACCCGCGUUCCCCAAAUCGAUUGGCGGUCACGUCGAGCUUCCAUAGCGUAGUAAUCAUACACCUCGUUACUGGUAAUCGUCGCGGCCACGCCGUAAAACCCCAACUUCUGAAUGUUGACCUCGGAUCAGGUAGGAAUACCCGCUGAACUUAAGCAUAUCAAAAGGGGGGAGGAAUGCCGGCCCUUUUCUUUCCUUUUCCGCCCCAAUGGUUUUUUCUUUUCUGUCAUUCGGGUGGUAACAACGGGGCCAAGGGGAAAAGUUAGUGUUGGGAUGUUAAACACCUACAGAUGCGAAAGUGAACUGAAGUGACAUCUUCUGCUCCUCAUCUCCCGAUCUGUGAUGUUCUCGGAUGGAUUUCACUAAUAACAUCUGGCGCCGGACGCGAGAGAACGUGAACUAUGCCUGUAUAGGGUGAUCCCACAUGAAUCUCUGGUGUACGCUCGCACCCUCUUCUGACGUGCAAAUCGAUCGUCAAAUAUGGUUAUCUACUCCCACAGACUAGUCGAACCUUCUACCACCUCCGUUCCGCCAUAACAAAACCGGUUAAAAUAAAAGGA
rnacentral:rRNA from 1 species